AUGAAUUGCUUAAGUUGGAACUGCCGGGGGGCAGGGAACCACCGGAUAGUUCGUGAGGUGUUGGCCCUUGCAAAAGCCAACUUCCCCAAGUUUGUCUUUCUUUCAGAGACAAUGCAAACUAAAGAAAAGAUGGAGAAGCUUAAAUGGAGACUGGGACUAAAGGGUUUCAGUGGUGUUAGUAGUAAUGGCAGAAGUGGACGUUUGGCUCUAUUUUGGGACGAAGCUUUAACAGUGACUAUUUUGGAUAGCUGUGCACGUUACAUUGACGUGCACGUCAUGGACAACGGUACUGAUGCUAGUUGGCGGGGUACCUUUAUUUAUGGUGAACCUCGGGUGGAAGAUCGUCAUUUGAUGUGGGAUCAUCUAGCUAGAUUACGUGUUGUUUCACAAGACUCGUGGUUUGUUUGCAGAGAUUUUAAUGAGGCUAUGUGGCAACAUGAACACCUAUCCCACUAUAUGAGAUCUGGAAAAUCUAAUGUUGGCGUUUUGGUAGUGCUUGGAGGUGUGUGA
rnacentral:rRNA from 1 species